UAACUGGACGAAUGGUUAAUUCCAUCUCCUACUUCUGUCCCUUCCUUUCUCAAUUCUCACUUACGCUCCUCUGCUGCUAAAGUCUGUUCCCAAAAUUGCUGGAUCCUCCCACAACUUUGUGUCACUUUAGAGACAAACAAUAAAAACAAAUGGUUCUGUAUAAGGACUACAAACGUGGAGGUAACCGUGUUGCUCCAAUCGAAAAUAUAUUCAAGCACGAGUUGAAUGGAGUUGGUUUUGGAGCUCGAGACCACUGGUAUGCUCCAAGUGAUUGAGGCUUCUCAUCUCCAAGGUACCACAUAAGUUUUUCCUGUGGACUGUACCUUCAAUUCACCAUGGGUUGGUUGGCAUGUGUAUUUGGUCGAACAAGGUUCGAAUAUGUGACAUCUUACAUCUAAAUCUAAGAGCCAUCCCUUAGGGCUUUCUCACUAGAUCUUAUCCUUGCAAGGCUAUUAGACUUCUGAUCCAACUAACCGGAAAAAGCAUGGCAGGUAUGUCACCGACUUUCAAGGGCUGAAGGUUGAUAAUUUGAAAAUGAAGUGCUUUAAUUUCAUGCAUAUUUUCAGUGUUAAAUACUUCUGAUUAAGGAUUCAUUAGUCUAUCAUACAAUCUUUUGAAUAGUCUCACAAUACAAAUACAAAGACACGUAAUAGUUACCAGAAGAAUUCUUUUUUUGGGGGGUUAUAUUUUUUUUAGAUGAAUUUUUCUCUGGAGUCCUUUGUAUAGACAAAAAUAUGUCCCUUAAUGAACCGUACACCUAUAGCUUGUGAUAA